GUUGCUUUUUGGGUAUGCCUACCCUGCUUUUGAAUGUUUCAAAUCUAUAGAGAAGAACAGAGUUGAAAUUGAAGAACUUAGAUUCUGGUGUCAAUAUUGGAUAAUCAUUGCACUUCUUACUGUUUGUGAGAGGAUAGGGGAUAUAUUUAUUUCAUGGUUACCAAUGUAUGGUGAGAUGAAGUUGGCAUUCUUUAUCUACUUGUGGCAUCCAAAAACAAAGGGAACUGGCUACAUCUAUGAAACUUUGCUGAGGCCUUUUGUAGCAAAGCACGAAACAGAUAUCGACAGGAAGCUACUGGAGUUGAAGGCUAAAGCCUGGGACUUUGCCAUUUACUAUUGUCAAAACUGCACAAAACUUGGGCAGAAUACAUUCUUUCAAGUUCUUGAGUACUUGGUUGCUCAAUCUGGAAAAUUUUCAGGCACAACUGCUAAGGUAAAAAAUUUUUGUGCAAACUAGACACAAAACCACAGAAGAUUAUCACACAAGAGAAAGAUAAAUACACAAAAAACUGGCUGCAAGCCAACAACUUUGAUCUCUGCAAGCAGCAACUUCCUAUAUUCAAUGAGGAAUCCUUUGGUUGGUUCCUCGAGUAAAUAUUUGCUUCAACCCAAUCUCGUCUUUCAAGCUUUUAAGCUUCAUUAUUCCUCUCCUAUUUCCCUUGCAUCCUCAGCCUGUCAAUUAUCAUAGGCAACCUUAUACAACAAUUGAUUUUGUCAUUUCAUUCCCCCAUCUCCAAAUUGAAGAUUGCGAAUUGUGAUUUAGUAAAUUUUAGCAUCCAUUAUCAUGCAAAUGCCACCCUUACAGAAACUGAGCUUGGGUAGUUUAAUAUGUAAUCAUUCACAAUUACAAAAUGCACAAACAUAAUCAAAUCAGUCAAUUAGUACUAAACUAAACAACCUUGCAGAAGGAAAGCAACCAUGAACCAAGCGUACCCUCAGCACGGGGUCUAAGUGAAUCACCCUCAAUGAGCAAACAUAAGAACAGCAAGUGGCCACCAAGACCCCCACCACCGCCCACCAGCAGCAUCAACCGUGCAGUUUCGGAGUCACCAAAAUCCAACCAAGUCCAAGUCCACCACCACGAACAAACAGAACAAGUACACUCGGUGGACCCAAGCACCGUCCCUGAACCUGAUGCCAUCAAUGACAAGCUCCAACAGGCCCGAAAUAGGCUCCGCCGUUCUAAGCCAAUCCAAAACUGAAGAUUGUAACCAAUUGUACAAAAAAAAAAAAAAAAAAAAA
rnacentral:misc_RNA from 1 species